ACAAGUUACUUGUGUGUGUUAACAUAUGUGUACUGACACUUUCACAUAAAAAAAACACUUUUAUGAUUGUGAUUACUGUAUGCUAUUAACAGGUCCAGUGAUUUGGAUUAUGGGCAGCAGCUACAUUCGUCGUGGGGAAGAGAGGGCCAGAGAGACCAUGGGGGCCAAUCUUGGCCUAGCGGCCAAGGUUCACUGGUUUGGCUGGGGUGGACUUCGAAGGCACGGACUCCUUCCUUUCUUCAACCGGUCCCUUAGAGGAAGAGCAGCCCCGGAUAUCCUGCUGAUUCACUGCGGCGGGAACGACUUGGGAUGCAGGAAGAGCAUCGAUCUCGUCGCAGCGAUGAAGCAGGAUCUGCAACAUCUCCAUCGGCGUUUCCCUCAGAUGAUCAUCGUGCUGUCUGACAUCACCCAGAGACGUCGGUGGAGAUCGGGCCAUCCGGGGAAAAUUGACAAGUCCCGUAAAUGGGUGAACAGUGUCAUGGCUACCUUUGUCUUGGGAAUGCAGGGGGGUAUCGGGCAUCACCCUCAAAUUGAAUUUGACAAGUCUGAACUGUUUCUUAGGGAUGAAGUUCAUUUAUCCACUAGGGGUAAUGAUAUUUUUUUAAAUAAUUUAGCUGAAGGCUUGAGAGUCUUAAUCCAGUAGGGGUGAUACUGGAUUAAACCUCUCAACAUGUUUUAAACAUGAAACAGUUAAAGAAUGUUACAUUCUUUUGGGGUUGUGUAUGUGCAUUUUGUCUUUAGAUUAAUACAUCAUCACUUGGGUAGACACAAUAACACUGUUCAAUUGUCACUGCUCUUCCCCCCCCCACAAACACACACACCUUUCUCCCCUCCGUGCCAUUGAUGUAUCACCCUAGCCAUCCACCCCAUGGCCUCUCUCUUUUCUUCCCCACGACGAAUGUAGCUAGCUUGAGAGGAGAUUGUGGGUCAGCUGCCUUGUUCCCCCUUCCUGUGUGUUUGUGUCUCCCUUUUCCCCUCUGUGUCUGUCUGUGCUGUUUGUCUCCACCUGGAAGUGGCAGGGGGCGUGUCUAGAGAAACUAGGUCAAGAGGCGUGGCCAUUCAUCCCUGCUCUGUCCUGGCACAGCUGAUGCACAUUCCAUGAUUCACACCUGCAGUAUUUAUACCCGGGCUGUUCACCUCUUCAGCGCUAGAUCGUUACAUGCUCCUACGUGAUCCUGCUGUUACCUGCUUCCUACCUGCCGUGCUGCCUGCCUCACGCCACUCAGACACAACCACCUGCUUCUCCUGGAUUCUACUCGGAACUUCUUCGGAUCUGCCACUGCCUGGUUCCCUCAAGCUGCAGUCCAUUCCCAGAAGACUACAAGCUCAGCCUUGAUUGUUCAUCUCCUCUGAGUAUUUAUGCCUAAUAAAUACUUGAACUGUU